CAAGACAACUUUACGGAGUUGACGAUUGACGGAGCGAAGCGACGUCAAAGCGUUCAUUAAAGUCGAGUUGGCUUAGGGAUACGUUCGUUGGGUAGGGGAGCGUUCUGUAAGCCUGUGAAGGUGUGUCGUGAGGCAUGCUGGAGGUAUCAGAAGUGCGAAUGCUGACAUAAGUAACGAUAAAGCGGGUGAAAAGCCCGCUCGCCGGAAGACCAAGGGUUCCUGUCCAACGUUAAUCGGGGCAGGGUGAGUCGACCCCUAAGGCGAGGCCGAAAGGCGUAGUCGAUGGGAAACGGGUUAAUAUUCCCGUACUUGGUGUUACUGCGAAGGGGGGACGGAGAAGGCUAUGUUGGCCGGGCGACGGUUGUCCCGGUUUAAGCGUGUAGGUGUGUGUUCCAGGUAAAUCCGGUUCACUUUA
rnacentral:rRNA from 1 species